rfam:Eurypyga helias contig96375, whole genome shotgun sequence.
GUCAGGAUGGCCGAGUGGUCUAAGGCGCCAGACUCAAGGCUCUGCUUUCCCGCACUGGGCAUUCUGGUCUCCGCGUGGAGGCGUGGGUUCAAAUCCCACUCCUGACA